rnacentral:rRNA from 1 species
AGAGUUUGAUCCUGGCUCAGAAUCAACGCUGGCGGCGCGCCUAACACAUGCAAGUCGAACGAGAAAGUGGAGCAAUCCAUGAGUACAGUGGCGUACGGGUGAGUAACACGUGGAUCAUCUGCCCUGGAGUGGGGAAUAACGCUGGGAAACCGGCGCUAAUACCGCAUAUUCCCGAGAGGGGAAAGCAGCAAUGCGCUCGAGGAGGAGUCCGCGGCCGAUUAGCUAGUUGGCAGGGUAAAAGCCUACCAAGGCUGUGAUCGGUAGCCGGCCUGAGAGGGCACACGGCCACACUGGCACUGAAACACGGGCCAGACUCCUACGGGAGGCAGCAGUGGGGAAUCUUGCACAAUGGGGGAAACCCUGAUGCAGCGACGCCGCGUGAGCGAUGAAGCCCUUCGGGGUGUAAAGCUCUUUCGGCAGGGACGAUUAUGACGGUACCUGCAGAAGCAGCUGCGGCUAACUACGUGCCAGCAGCCGCGGUAAUACGUAGGCAGCAAGCGUUGUUCGGAGUUACUGGGCGUAAAGGGUGUGUAGGCGGCCUGUUAAGUUCCGUGUGAAAUCUCCCGGCUCAACUGGGAGGGUGCGCGGAAAACUGGCGGGCUAGAGUGCGGGAUGGGAGAGUAGAAUUCCUGGUGUAGCGGUGAAAUGCGUAGAUAUCAGGAGGAAUACCGGUGGUGUAGACGGCUCUCUGGACCGUAACUGACGCUGAGACACGAAAGCGUGGGUAGCAAACAGGAUUAGAUACCCUGGUAGUCCACGCCCUAAACGAUGCAUAUUUGGUGUAGUCAUUCAGUUGAUCUGUGCCGGAGCUAACGCGUUAAAUAUGCCGCCUGGGGAGUACAGUCGCAAGGCUGAACUCAAAGGAAUUGACGGGGCCCGCACAAGCGGUGGAGCAUGUGGUUCAAUUCGACGCAACGCGAAGAACCUUACCUG